GUCUAUAUAACCCGAUACUUGUAGAAAGAUUUAGUAUUGUGCUCUAAGUUCGGCAAAAGUGAAGUGGUUGAAAGUUUGAAAUAAUAAACAACAAUGGAGUCUUCAUACAACCUGAAAGAUGUGGAUAAAUGUUUCAGACCAUAUAAUUAUUAUAAUUUAUCUGAUGAUGAAGAAGAGGUUUUAAACAUAACAGAAAAUAAAAAUAAGAAGACCAAUCGUUUAGAUGACUUUUUUCUUCAAGAACCUGACCGGAAGAAGAAAAAAACUAAACUUUCUUCAAGUGUUGGCCGUGCAGGGAAGGAGGGAAGCAUUUCAUAUAUAUCGACUGAUAAAGAUGAUGGAAUGGACGCUGACAUACUUGUGAAAAUGGAAUUAUAUAGUUUAAAAAAGUUGAAAGAAAUCCCAGUGGCACAACAUUGGAAAAAUGCAGAUAUUCGUGUUAAAUAUUAUAUGAAAAACGAUUCCAACAUUGAUGUUCAGAUAAAGGAUAUUGUAUACAACAUAACAAAGGGGAUAUCCGAGGAAGAUAGUGUAAAACGUUACAGUUUUAAAAAUUAGUUUCAUUUAGUUUCUUCAUGCUUCAGAUUUUAAUACCAUAUGUUUAUAUAAUUAAGUAAUGUUUCAGUUUUCCACUAGUAUAAAUACUAUGUUGCAUUGUACAAAGUCAAUCAUUGUGCUUUUUGUUGAAGACCUUUGCGCAUUAAGGUUAAAAGUGUGAGACAAAAAACAGUUGUGAAACGAAUACAUAUAUACAAUGUCUCAAGAAUGUGUUAGUGUUUUUUUUGAUGAAAUGGAUCAUGAAUUUGAAAGCUUAUCCAUUGAUACAAUUGAACUUUUCAACGUUUGUGAGGAAAUAGAAAGAAAUGAUUUAAAUCACCCAUUUUAUGAUCAAAGAAUGAUGGUGCUAUGUGAUGAAUUCGAUGGGAAACUGGUUGAUCAAAUGGGUCGUGGAACUAAAAGGAAAGCAGCUGUUGAUAUUAACUCUGCUGACAUCAAAAGAAUAAAAUCUGGAUCGAACAUGGAUCUUUCACGGUCUUCACAAGAGCAAUCAACAUCGAAUGAAGGUAAUAAUUUUAACAUGAAAUUUUGCUGUAUUUGUAAUAGAAAUGUUUCCAAAAAAUAUUUCGCUAAUCAUCUAAGGAGCAAUGCACAUAAAAAUAAUGUAA